UGAGGACGUCGUACGUUUUGGAUGGUGUUUCGUGGGGCAAGCUUUUAGUGAUGGUGUGUGAGCUGACAUGAUAAAACCCAGUACCAAGUCUACAGCUGCUGUUGCCAAUAGUCAGCCUAUAGCAUACCAUCAUCUUGAAGCCUUACUGCACCAAAAUGAUUGUUUGUGGGAAAGCAUUCAGAAACCUGCAGAAGAAAAUACAAAUGUUUUUGUAUGUGGAGAGGCUCAUCUAAGUUCUUUACAGUACCCCACCCAUCAAUACCAGGAUGCUGGUGCUCCCAACCCGACCUCUUCCUACAACUUUCUCUUGGGUGGCAGCAUCAAUGAUACUGCAGCACCUCUCGACCCCACCA